rnacentral:rRNA from 1 species
UACGGGGGGGGCAAGCGUUGUUCGGAAUUACUGGGCGUAAAGGGCCAGUAGGCGGCCAACUAAGUCCGACGUGAAAUCCCAAGGCUUAACCUUGGAACUGCGUCGGAUACUGGAUGGCUUGAAUUCGGGAGAGGGAUGCAGAAUUCCAGGUGUAGCGGUGAAAUGCGUAGAUAUUGGGAGGAACACCAGUGGCGAAGGCGGCUCACUGGACCGGAACUGACGCUGAGGCGCGAAAGCGUGGGGAGCAAACGGG